rnacentral:rRNA from 1 species
UACGUAGGGUGCAAGCGUUAAUCGGAAUUACUGGGCGUAAAGCGUGCGCAGGCGGUUGUGCAAGACAGAUGUGAAAUCCCCGGGCUCAACCUGGGAAUUGCAUUUGUGACUGCACGGCUAGAGUGUGUCAGAGGGGGGUAGAAUUCCACGUGUAGCAGUGAAAUGCGUAGAUAUGCGGAGGAACACCGAUGGCGAAGGCAAUCCCCUGGGCCUGCACUGACGCUCAUGCACGAAAGCGUGGGGAGCAAACAGG